UGUACUAUUUUCACAUUUUUUUUGUCGAGAAAAUUGCACUAUAUUUUAUCUUUCAAGCUUUCUAAGCUCUAAGCCUCUAACCCUUCAUUUUCUCUAAACCAUGAAAAUUAUCUUUAUUAGUGUAGUAAAGGACAAACAAAACGCAUUGAUAUACUUAAGAGUCAUUUAAUCACAAUUCUAAUUUUUGAAUGAAUUUUUUAAAUCUCCUUAAGAGCUUUUUUUUUUUUUUACUCACCAUAAGAGCUAAUUAAAAACUAUGUAAUUGAUAUAAGGACAUAAUCAGAUUGAGAAAUUAUAAAGUGAUAAAGUCAUUUGUUAGAUGCAAAUGAGGGAAAUAUGUUUGAAAUUGUCAAAUUUAUUUAUGUUAUGAUUAUCUUUCUUGCAAUAUUUUUUGUUUCAAAGAAUGUAAACGGUUAUAGCUGUAGAUCGGAAUAUGAAUGUCUAAACAGGCGUUGUGUUGAGCCUCUUGUACCAAGGUGUAUUAGUUCUAGAUGUCAAUGUGGAUAUAAACCACUUCCGAAAUUAAUGUUGUUUUAGUUCUUGUACCCAAAUAAUUUUAUAUUUAAAAAACAAAUCUUUCUAAUUUCAAGAACCUUGAAAUUUUGUAUUUGUACUUUAAAUUGGUGAUAAUUCAAAGGCAAAAAACAAGAGAUUACAAAAUUAGAAUCUCAUUCUCAUCUUAA